AUUGAACGCUGGCGGCAGGCCUAACACAUGCAAGUCGAACGAGUGGCGGACGGGUGAGUAAUGUCUGGGAAACUGCCUGAUGGAGGGGGAUAACUACUGGAAACGGUAGCUAAUACCGCAUACCAUCGGAUUUGCCCAGAUGUGAUUAGCUUGUAGGUGGGGUAAAGGCUCACAUAGGCGACGAUCCCUAGCUGGUCUGAGAGGAUGACCAGCAACACGGGAACUGAGAAACGGUCCGGAUUCCUACGGGAGGCAGCAGGGGGGAAUAUUGGAAAAGGGGCGAAAGCCGGACGCAGCAAGGCGGGGUGGAUGAAGAAGGUUUGCGGGUUGUAAAGUAUUUUCAGCGGGGAGGCGUUACCUGCAGAAGAAGCACCGGCUAACUCCGUGCCAGCAGCCGCGGUAAUUC
rnacentral:rRNA from 1 species